AUUAAACUUUAUAUAUUUAUGUGAAAUGAAAAAAAAAUAGAUGUGAAAAAUUUACUAUAUUUUCAAACAUGUUUUUUCUUGUAGUUUUAAUAUAUAUAUAUUAAAAUCAAUUAAACUACUAACCUACGGUUCUCGACCGAAAGUAGUUCGGUUCAAUGUUCGGAUCGUUUUUAAAAACAUGAGAUUAUAUGCAUAUGUGCCCCUGAUCACCACCUAUAUUAGCAAACUAUCACCCACUAUCUUCAUCAUCUUUUCAUACUGAUUUUGCCCCUACACUCUACUCUCUCUCUCCCGUGUAGCUUCCGGUGUGUCAGACUGCAUCAGUAAAGUGGAGCCAUGCUCUCUUACUUCUCUCCUAAUUCUCUCUUAUCCUUUAUCUCUCCCUUUUUCAUCUUCUCUCUUUUUUUUUUUUCCAUCCUCUCACGUACAAACCAUUCUCUAAUUUUUGAGUAAAAUUGUUCUAUCUUUUUUUUAGUUUUUAAUUCAAUCUCUCUCUUUCUCUAAUCUAUCUUCCUCUAUCAAUCAUGUUUAUGGAGAAAAAAAAUUGUCAACUAAAAUGUUUGCCGCCGGUGAAGAACCAUCCGGAAAGCGGUUCCACUCAUACCAAAAGAUAAAAAAUGUUCAAAAAAAAAAUAUUAUUCGCCGAAGAAGAGACGAGCAAGUGAAAUUUUCAAUCGGACUGAUUAAGCUCCACCUGCUACUAAAUGAAUAAUAAUUCCAGGACAUGCUUGUGACUCAGACCAUGGAUACCAGUGGACAUGGGGUCGAUUUUGGAUGGUACGUACGAAGAACCGUAAUUUGAGGCGUGGAUGAAAGUUGCAUCAGAUUUAGAGUCAGAGCAAUUGAUGUAGUUUUUUUUAUCAAGAUUGGGAAGCUGCAAAAAGGUUGAGUCAAAGCCGAAGAAAAGGCAAGCAAGUUCAUGAUGUUGUUUUCGAUAUAGAUAACAUUUUUGUUAGCCGUAAAAGACACAGUUAACUGAUAAUAGUUAAUGUAAAAGCUAAUUGGUUGCAUUUAACCGCUAUUAGGUAAUGCAACCUUUAUAUAUAUAUACAGGUAACAUAUAAGCAUAGUUGUUAUUGUAAGAUGUAGCUGUUAAUAUAAAUAUUUAAUAUGGUGGAUA